UGGGGAAUAUUGCACAAUGGGCGAAAGCCUGAUGCAGCAACGCCGCGUGAGUGAUGAAGGCCUUCGGGUUGUAAAGCUCUGUCUUUUGGGACGAUAAUGACGGUACCAAAGGAGGAAGCCACGGCUAACUACGUGCCAGCAGCCGCGGUAAUACGUAGGUGGCAAGCGUUGUCCGGAUUUACUGGGCGUAAAGGAUGCGUAGGCGGAUUUUUAAGUGAGAUGUGAAAACCCUAAGCUUAACUUGGGGACUGCAUUUCAUACUGGAAAUCUAGAGUGCGGGAGAGGAGAAUGGAAUUCCUAGUGUAGCGGUGAAAUGCGCAGAGAUUAGGAAGAACACCAGUGGCGAAGGCGAUUCUCUGGACCGUAACUGACGCUGAGGCAUGAAAGCGUGGGUAGCAAACAGGAUUAGAUACCCUGGUAGUCCACGCCGUAAACGAUGAGUACUAGGUGUAGGAGGUAUCGACCCCUUCUGUGCCGCAGUUAACACAAUAAGUACUCCGCCUGGGAAGUACGAUCGCAAGAUUAAAA
rnacentral:rRNA from 1 species